rnacentral:rRNA from 1 species
UAAAAACAUUUCUAUAUAAUUUAUGUAUAGUACCCUCUGCCCGGUGAUGAAAUAUUAAACGGCCACUUUUGUGCUAAGGUAGCAUAAUUACUUGUUUCUUAAAUAGAAUCUUGUCUGAAUGAGGAUUACUUAUUAAUUUCUGUCUAAUAGUGUGUAUUUGAAAUUUUAUUCAGGUAAAAAUUCCUGAAAUUCUUAAAAGACGAGAAGACCCUGAAAUCUUUUCCUAAAGAAAAAAUAAUGGUUUAAAUGGGGCCUUAUAAAUUUUUAUUAAAUUUUUUAUGUUUUAAUUGAGUUAUUUAGUAAGUUACUUCAGGGGUAACAGGGCAAUCAAUGUUAGAGAUCUUAUCAAAUCAUUGGUUUGCUACCUCGAUGUUGAAUUAAACUUGGUCUUCUAGGUAGAAGGAGGAGAUGUGGGCCUGUUCGGCCUGUAGAGUUUUACAUGAUUUGAGUUUAA